GAUGAACGCUGGCGGCGUGCCUAAUACAUGCAAGUCGAGCGAACGGACGAGAAGCUUGCUUCUCUGAUGUUAGCGGCGGACGGGUGAGUAACACGUGGAUAACCUACCUAUAAGACUGGGAUAACUUCGGGAAACCGGAGCUAAUGCCGGAUAAUAUUUUGAACCGCAUGGUUCAAAAGUGAAAGACGGUCUUGCUGUCACUUAUAGAUGGAUCCGCGCUGCAUUAGCUAGUUGGUAAGGUAACGGCUUACCAAGGCAACGAUGCAUAGCCGACCUGAGAGGGUGAUAGGCCACACUGGAACUGAGACACGGUCCAGACUCCUACGGGAGGCAGCAGUAGGGAAUCUUCCGCAAUGGGCGAAAGCCUGACGGAGCAACGCCGCGUGAGUGAUGAAGGUAUUCGGAUCGUAAAACUCUGUUAUUAGGGAAGAACAUAUGUGUAAGUAACUGUGCACAUCUUGACGGUACCUAAUCAGAAAGCCACGGCUAACUACGUG
rnacentral:rRNA from 1 species